AGCUAACACCGGUCCUCGUCCGAUGAUCGAAGUUAAGCAACGUCGAACCUGGUAAGUAUCUAGAUGGGUGUCUGCAUGGGAAUAGCCGGUGCAGCAAG